GACGUAGGAGGCGAGCGUUGUCCGGAUUCAUUGGGCGUAAAGAGCACGCAGGCGGUUUGGCAAGUCGGACGUGAAAAUCCGGGGCUCAACCCCGGACCUGCAUCCGAAACUGCCCGACUAGAGGUAGGUAGGGGAGAUCGGAAUUCCUGGUGUAGCGGUGAAAUGCGCAGAUAUCAGGAGGAACACCGGUGGCGAAGGCGGAUC
rnacentral:rRNA from 1 species